ACACUCCUGCGGGAGGCAGCAGUGGGGAAUUUUGGACAAUGGGGGCAACCCUGAUCCAGCAAUGCCGCGUGAGUGAAGAAGGCCUUCGGGUUGUAAAGCUCUUUUGUCAGGGAAGAAACGGUGGUGGCGAAUAACUACUACUAAUGACGGUACCUGAAGAAUAAGCACCGGCUAACUACGUGCCAGCAGCCGCGGUAAUACGUAGGGUGCAAGCGUUAAUCGGAAUUACUGGGCGUAAAGCGUGCGCAGGCGGUUGUGUAAGUCAGAUGUGAAAUCCCCGGGCUCAACCUGGGAAUUGCAUUUGAGACUGCACGGCUAGAGUGUGUCAGAGGGGGGUAGAAUUCCACGUGUAGCAGUGAAAUGCGUAGAUAUGUGGAGGAAUACCGAUGGCGAAGGCAGCCCCCUGGGAUAACACUGACGCUCAUGCACGAAAGCGUGGGGAGCAAACAGGAUUAGAAACCCGUGUAGUCCCAUGAU
rnacentral:rRNA from 1 species